GCCGACGUGGCUCAGCUGGUAGAGCAGCGGUUUCGUAAACCGCAGGUCGUGGGUUCGAUCCCCAUCGUCGGCUCCA
rnacentral:tRNA from 2 species